CUCAAACUCCGUUUUUUGCCUUUUGGUGUGACCAGAUGCCUGGAGGGUGUGGAGAUGGGUAUUUCCCUUUCCUCAGGUAGAUUAGGCUCCGGUAAAACUUCAGAGGUGAGAUUCUGCCUGAAUAAUUUCUCCUAAGGACAGAUCUUGUUAACAAGAACGGAAUGCUCUGGUAUAUUUCAAGAUGGUUCUUCUCUCCUCCUACCCCAUGUCCCCUUUGACUAGAAGCAAGAUGGGUUUUUUAACUCUGAUAUUCACUGUGAGAUAAAGCUCCUGGAGGUGAAACUUACAAAAAAAGUGGGGUCACUGUGACUGGGUCCACCGGAAGAUUUUAACUCUCAAGAAUUGCCUACACUGAGCUUCAAGCAAUUUGUCAAUUACAGUUCAGGUUUUCCUACCCAGCACUGGUUCCGGAGGAGGUUGCAAGUUGUCUGAGUUUCUGCUCUAAUGUGGCAUCUUAUUUUCUUCAGCAUCCACCUGUCUAUCUUGAUUUGUCCAGGCUUUCCUAAUGCAUUAGUGCUUCAGUCCGUUCUCCAGGUUGAGAUAGCAAUCCCUCAUAUCACUUUGGAAUAAGUUGCUUUGUACGUUUCAUGAAGAAAGAAGCUCUGCUUGUCUCAUUUAUUGCUGCAUCUUCCUUGCAGUGCAAUUUGAGGAAAACAAGAAGGCAGAUGUUUUGCCAUUGAGCCAGAAUUAAGGUUGUCAAUUCCAAGGACAAGAUUUGGCAGCAUUCCUGCAACACAAAAAUGUUAUCACUAGGAGUCACUGGCAUGUCAUAGAUCUGGGUUUCCUCCAAGGAGCAUGGCAAGUGCCCUGAGUUGUACUUCUUUCACACCCAUGGAAAAAAGAGCCCAUUAAGGAUAAAUGCAUCAUCUAUGAUCAUAAUUGAAAGUGGUACAGCAACUACUGCAGCCUGGAUUCUCCACCUGUGCCUACUUUUUAUGCGUAACAUUUAACUUUUCUUAUUCACAAAAAUGGCAUAGUUGGAUAUCUUUAUUGCAUACUUUUUGAAAGAAUUUUUGAUGUUAAUUAAGAAUUUCUCUCAGAUCACAAUACAUACCAUCAGAACUGCAUAUUUUUAUUAUGCCCUAAAUAUUUCCUCCUCACCCCU
rnacentral:lncRNA from 1 species